rnacentral:rRNA from 1 species
UACGAAGGGUGCAAGCGUUGUUCGGAAUUACUGGGCGUAAAGCGCGUGUAGGCGGCCCUGUAAGUCAGAUGUGAAUGCCCUCGGCUUAACCGGGGAAGUGCAUCUGAAACUGCUUGGCUUGAGUACCGGAGAGGGAGGCGGAAUUCCCAGUGUAGAGGUGAAAUUCGUAGAUAUUGGGAGGAACACCGGUGGCGAAAGCGGCCUCCUGGACGGAUACUGACGCUGAGACGCGAAAGCGUGGGGAGCAAACAGG